rnacentral:rRNA from 1 species
UACGUAGGAGACGAGCGUUGUCCGGAAUCACUGGGCGUAAAGGGCGCGUAGGCGGCUCAUGAAGGCUGUGGUGAAAGUCCGGGGCUCAACCUCGGAUCGGCCGUGGCGACUCGUGGGCUGGAGCACUGUAGAGGCGGGUGGAAUUCCGGGUGUAGCGGUGGAAUGCGUAGAGAUCCGGAAGAACACCAGUGGCGAAGGCGGCGACCUGGUCCUUUACUGACGCUGAGGCGCGAAAGCGUGGGAGGCAAACAGGG